UUUGGUUGGCUGAUACACGAGAAUCACCCGUACAACUCACCACCAGAACCAUUGGGCAUGUCAAAAACGAUGAUCAUGAAGCCAACAGCAACACUGGUUAAUUCAACACACAGUUUGAUAAGCAGCAAACCGGUGUACACAUGUGGAGGCUGCGGUGCAACACUUCAAGUUUGCCAGGAAGCGGAAUAACAGUACAAUUGACAUCACACCACACAGACCAAACAACAAUUCUUCAGGAAAAACCGCUGAUGUUGAGAUUCUUGAAUCAGUGAAAAUCUGGUGCCAUGUAAUUAAGUACAGGUUAUACUUCAAGCUUUCUCGAUCUGUUUGCAGGCGAAUAGUUUGACUCGAUGAGGGAUAUAAUCUGUUUUUUAUUAUUUGAUUUGGCUGAUGACCCAUGUUCAAGGAUGACUUAUGUUUCAGACUAUACAAAGAUUGCCUUUUCGUUAUCAUAAGAUCUCAAUGCACCUAACGACAACAACCAUCAUUGAGCCAUCACAUUCUUUCCCUUUACAUUUCAGGCAGGUUGGGUAUUGAGAUCAAGAAAUUUAGCGCCACUUGCAGAUAUGGUUUCAAGAUCAAUAUUUGGCUUGAAACAGAGACAGAGGACUUUUGUUUUUGAAUGUUUUGUAGAUUUCUAAAUGUUUGGACUUUGGUUUCAAGGUCAACAAUUGUCAAUUUUUGAAUGUUUGGAAACACUUGCAGAAUUUAA
rnacentral:lncRNA from 1 species